rnacentral:rRNA from 1 species
UACGUAGGGUGCAAGCGUUGUCCGGAAUUAUUGGGCGUAAAGAGCUCGUAGGCGGUUUGUCGCGUCGACUGUGAAAAACCCGAGGCUUUAACCUCGGGCCUGCAGUCGAUACGGGGCAGGCUAGAGUUCGGUAGGGGGAGACUGGAAUUCCUGGUGUAGCGGUGAAAAUGCGCAGAUAUCAGGAGGAACACCGAUGGCGAAGGCAGGUCUCUGGGGCAUUAACUGACGCUGAGGAGCGAAAGCAUGGGGGAGCGAACAGG